GAUGAACGCUGGCGGCGUGCCUAACACAUGCAAGUCGAACGAAGCACCUUACCUGAUUCUUCGGAUGAAAGUUUGGUGACUGAGUGGCGGACGGGUGAGUAACGCGUGGGUAACCUGCCCUGUACAGGGGGAUAACAGCUGGAAACGGCUGCUAAUACCGCAUAAGCGCACGAGGAGACAUCUCCUUGUGUGAAAAACUCCGGUGGUACAGGAUGGGCCCGCGUCUGAUUAGCUGGUUGGCAGGGUAACGGCCUACCAAGGCAACGAUCAGUAGCCGGUCUGAGAGGAUGAACGGCCACAUUGGAACUGAGACACGGUCCAAACUCCUACGGGAGGCAGCAGUGGGGAAUAUUGCACAAUGGGGGAAACCCUGAUGCAGCAACGCCGCGUGAGUGAAGAAGUAUUUCGGUAUGUAAAGCUCUAUCAGCAGGGAAGAUAAUGACGGUACCUGACUAAGAAGCUCCGGCUAAAUACGUG
rnacentral:rRNA from 1 species